GGGGAGCCGUGAGAGGUUUACCAUCUAUGUUGUCAACUCUGCUGCGUAUGAAGAAUCGUCAUCACGAAAGCGGUCGGGUUUUGAACCUGCCAGCGGCUGUAACAUUUGACUUUUUAGCUGUUGGAAAUUAUUAGACUGAUUUGUCUGGGUGAGAAGAAUCAGCAGGAGAAUAAUCCUUCUGUGGCCAUGGGAUAGUGCAGUUGAAAUCUCUUGCUUUUCCUGCCAUUCUCAGUCCUAUUUUCUGAUCAAAUAUCAGACUUCAGAGAUGAUCAUCUGAUGCUGGGGGCCGAUGGUCGCUUCUCUCCCGGCCAUGGCAGUGUUUGCAGAGGUUUCCACGAGGGGCCAGCACCGAGUCCUUCCCUCACCUGACAGCCACAGACAAACCCCUGCACUCUGUGAUGGGAAAUGACCGACUGAGGCACAUCUCAGGGACAGCGUUCCCCAGUGCCUGCUGUUGUUGACAGCUGCUGGAAUCUACUUGUAGCUACAAAGUCAUGUUUGCCUUGUUUUUCCGAAAGUUUAUUCAUGUCUAUGUUACCUUUUGUGAGCAGAAUGCAUGCUUGAGUACUGUCCUUGGCCGAGAUGGAUUCUCUUCAGUCUAUUUGCUCUGAUAGAAAAACUCAUCAGCCUUUUUCCCAGUGUUCUCAAGCCUUCUUCAGGAUACUGGAAAUCCUGAAAACCCAAGGAAAAUGCAGUGAUGUGGAGCAAUAAUGGUGGUUAUAGAUAAGGUAGAGGUAACAGACCUACAGCAUAGGAGGGUUUGUGAUUUAGUUACUUAAAAGAAUCAAACAUUUUUAUUGGAAAGAAAUCCAAGCAGAAUGUAGUCAGAAUGGAGACUAUCAUUUCUAGGACAGCAAGGUGACUUCAGUUUCCUUGAGAGCAAGAGGAGGGGUAGAGGAGUGAUAGAAAGAAAACAGACCAGAGCAGAGUUUUGAAGUAUCUUGGAUUACCAAUACCAAAAGUGAAAUCACAAGUCUGAGGAAUCAUGGUAGGAAGGAGGUGGAUUUAGCACUUUGGGCUGCCAGCCUGACACAUUCAGGAUGUUUCCACUGGA